CCUACGGGCGACAGCAGUGAGGAAUAUUGGUCAAUGGACGAGAGUCUGAACCAGCCAAGUAGCGUGAAGGAUGACUGCCCUAUGGGUUGUAAACUUCUUUUAUAUGGGAAUAAAAUGUUCCACGUGUGGGAUUUUGUAUGUACCAUAUGAAUAAGGAUCGGCUAACUCCGUGCCAGCAGCCGCGGUAAUACGGAGGAUCCGAGCGUUAUCCGGAUUUAUUGGGUUUAAAGGGAGCGUAGGUGGAUUGUUAAGUCAGUUGUGAAAGUUUGCGGCUCAACCGUAAAAUUGCAGUUGAAACUGGCAGUCUUGAGUACAGUAGAGGUGGGCGGAAUGCGUGGUGUAGCGGUGAAAUGCUUAGAUAUCACGAAGAACUCCGAUUGCGAAGGCAGUUCACUGGACUGCAACUGACACUGAGGCUCGAAAGUGUGGGUAUCAAACAGGAUUAGAUACCCCGGUAGUC
rnacentral:rRNA from 1 species